UCUCCUGGAAACGGGUGGUAAUGCCGGAUGUUCCAGUUGAUCGCAUGGUCUUCUGGGAAAGCUUUCGCGGUAUGGGAUGGGGUCGCGUCCUAUCAGCUUGACGGCGGGGUAACGGCCCACCGUGGCUUCGACGGGUAGCCGGCCUGAGAGGGCGACCGGCCACAUUGGGACUGAGAUACGGCCCAGACUCCUACGGGAGGCAGCAGUGGGGAAUAUUGCACAAUGGGCGCAAGCCUGAUGCAGCGACGCCGCGUGAGGGAUGGAGGCCUUCGGGUUGUAAACCUCUUUUAUCGGGGAGCAAGCGAGAGUGAGUUUACCCGUUGAAUAAGCACCGGCUAACUACGUGCCAGCAGCCGCGGUAAUACGUAGGGUGCAAGCGUUAUCCGGAAUUAUUGGGCGUAAAGGGCUCGUAGGCGGUUCGUCGCGUCCGGUGUGAAAGUCCAUCGCUUAACGGUGGAUCCGCGCCGGGUACGGGCGGGCUUGAGUGCGGUAGGGGAGACUGGAAUUCCCGGUGUAACGGUGGAAUGUGUAGAUAU
rnacentral:rRNA from 1 species